rnacentral:rRNA from 1 species
CAGUCGCCGCGGUAAUACAGAGGGUGCGAGCGUUAAUCGGAUUUACUGGGCGUAAAGCGUGCGUAGGCGGCUAUUUAAGUCGGAUGUGAAAUCCCUGAGCUUAACUUAGGAAUUGCAUUCGAUACUGGGAAGCUAGAGUAUGGGAGAGGAUGGUAGAAUUCCAGGUGUAGCGGUGAAAUGCGUAGAGAUCUGGAGGAAUACCGAUGGCGAAGGCAGCCAUCUGGCCUAAUACUGACGCUGAGGUACGAAAGCAUGGGGAGCAAACAGGAUUAGAUACCCCGGUAGUCCCUGUCUCUUAUAC